UUCUCUGUGCCGAAUCCUUCCUCUGCAAUCCAUUCCUCCUCCUUCCUCUCCAAGCCAUCCUCUCCUCCCUCCCCUCGCUCGAUCUAGAUUCCUCUCUCGCUCCUGGGGGUGUUACACUCUGCCGACACGUUCCCUGCGCAUCACUGCAACUACCCGCGGUUAAUGUUGAUGCAACAAUCUCGCGGCGAGGAGUGCGUGCGGAAGGCUAGUAAGCACAUGCUGCGCGCCCUGCGGCGCGCCCGUGGCCCGUUCGAUGAAAUUCCUCGCCGGGGCGCCUCGCGGCGGCGGCUGCUGGCGCCGAGGAUGCUGUUGCGGGUGUACGUGGGCAUCCUGGCGUGCGGAGCCAGGCCCUACGCGCGCCGUUGCUCAAUGCGCGCGCCAUGGAGCCGGCUGUGGGGACGCCGUUCAUGCGCACGUCGUGGCUAAGUUUGGGCUAGAGCUCAACCUGAACGCCCACUUGCCAAAGCUCGCUGGUCCUCACGGUGAGGAGGAUAUCCAUAUGUUUUACAGAAUGCUCCAGAUGAAGUGACAGUCAUCGCUCAUCGGUGCAUAGUGAAACCAGGUGUAGCCUUUUAUAUGUUCAAUGCUUUCUUCUCUCUGGAGGCAAUUUACACUAGUUUUCCGUCCACUGAUGAAGUAAAGCACUUAAUUGUAGCAGCAAUAAUAUGCAUAGUACAAAAUUAAUUACUCA